rnacentral:lncRNA from 1 species
UUUAAAACACAAAAAAGAGACUACAGGUUGGAUCUUAAAAGAAAAUUGACCACUGUUCCUCCUCCUUCUUCACGAAGCAACUGAACAACAACGAACAGAAAACACACGAAAACAAAAAGAAACCCUCUUCUGCUUCAACCUUCAUCAUCGUUCUCCUACAGCCCGCCUCCUCAUCGCCAGAGAAGAUGCUUCGUCACAGCCUAACCCACGGCCACCCUACUGCCCAAACGGACUGACCAAACAGCCUCCAGUCUUUCACGAACCACCAGCCUGCUGCGUCUUCCAACCCUCACGCUGACCACCUCCGAGCUCCAGCCACUGCUGCUGCUUCCCCGUCAACCACCCUACAGCAGUCCGCCAUAGCCACGCCGGAAAAAUCAACCAGUCCAGUCGCGGCUUCCAUCGUCGACCACCCUAGACCUCACGUCAAACGAUCAAACCAAGGAGGUAAUACUACUGUUCUUGAUAAUCUUCUCCCUCUGAAGAACUAACAAAAUACGCUAACGCCUAAACCUCCGAGCUCCAGCUACUGCUGCUGCUUCCCCGUCAACCACCCUACAGCAGUCCGCCAUAGCCACGCCGGAAAAAUCAACCAGUCCAGUCGCGGCUUCCAUCGUCGACCACCCUAGACCUCACGUCAAACGACCAAACCACACUUCCACCAAGCACUAGUCCACUGCCCAGUCACGCCAAACCCACCGACCGACAUCCAGUCCGUCAACCUCACGUCGCCAUUGACGCAGCAGGUGCUGCGUCGUUCAUCUUCCUCAGCCCAGCGACAAACCAUGUAACGGACCAAACGUCCACCAGUUAUUUUCCGGCGAGUUUCGAGUGCGAUUUGGAGUAGAGGUUCGAGUUUUCCGUCGAGGUCCGUUUGUAGUUCCGUCAAGGGUCGAUAAAUUUUCCGGGUAUGUUUUGUUGCGUUGUUUUAUCUAGUUAUAGGUAUGUGACUAUACUUUUUGAGUUUUGUUAAGAUAUUAAUCGAAAAUCUGGGUUACAUACUACUUUGUGUUUGUUAUGAAUAUUCAUGCAUUUUCUUGCUUGAGUAUAAUACCGAGUAUAACAUGCCUGCCUUCAACUUGUAGGUUGUUAUUUUGCAUUGCAUUUUGUUAAAUGUGUUUGGAUAGUUAAUAUUUAAUUAUUUGUCUUAAUAGGUGCCUAUAUAUGUUCUGAAAAGAUUAUAUUAAUUUUAAUUCCUCAAAAAUGCUUUUUUCAUCAAAUAAGCUCAAUUCAUAUUUCGUGACCCUCGUGUUGUGAUUUUUAAUCCCUCAGAAAUUAGGGUGUGUUUUAGCUGAAUUUCCAUGGUCCUAGAUUGGAACAUGCGUAACAUUGUUAAUAAACUUGGACUUUGGGAUUUUGAGCCUUUCAAUUAUUUAGGUUGUUUUUAUUUUUUAAAAUAGAAAACAUAGUCACUUUAAUAUAUCCUUAAAAUAAAUGAGGUGUGCCUCUCCAAAUUAAAUCGCAAAUUGCGGGGCCAUCAUAAAUGUAUAUAUUAAAAAUACUUAGACUCCGGGAUGGGCCGUUUAGCUAAUUGCACGGCCUUCCCCAAAAUAAUAACGCGUUAGACUCGUUAGGAGCGUAUUUUAAUAACAUUACCUUCUUAAACCUGGGUGUACAUUGAUGUGACCCAAAUCCAAGUCUCAACGAAGUCAGAAUAUGUCGACGAUCACAUGUCAACUGGUUGGGACGUGGUUCGAGAUGCAUUUUCACGAUGUUGCAAUUCUUUUUAAAAAAAAAUUAACAAAUGAGGCGUGCCUCGCCAA